ACCAUGCUGGUCAUUUAUGAACAUUUGAACAUCUUGGCCAUGUUCUGUUAUAAUCUCCACCCGGCACAGCCAGAAGAGGACUGGCCACCCCUCAUAGCCUGGUUUCUCUCUAGGUUUCUUCCUAGGUUUUGGCCUUUCUAGGGAGUUUUUCCUAGCCACUGUGCUUCUACACCUGUAUUGCUUGCUGUUUGGGGUUUUAGGCUGGGUUUCUGUACAGCACUUUGAGAUAUCAGCUGAUGUAAGAAGGGCUAUAUAAAUUGAUUUGAUUUUGAUUUGAUGACAGUCAAUUAUGGCUAAAAGCAGAAGCAUUUAUCCUGUAGCACAAGCUCACAUGUAGGUAGUAUUUUGCAUUAUUCCAAAUCAUACAUUUUGGGUCAGUUUAAUCUGUGAAGUAGUAAACAGGAUACAGAAUUGCAAAACCCAAACAAAUUAAAUGGUUGGUGGAAAUAUAAUUGUCUAUUCUAAGCAUUAAGGUUAAAAUACUAUAUAAACAUUAUUUCCAGAGAAAAGUUAUAUAUUAUUUGGUAUCUGGAACUGUGACCUUUCAGAUUCAAUGAAACUAAUGUUCUAUGACUGAGUGGAAUUUCUUUGAAUUGCACUUAAUUAAAUUCUACUUCCUGCCACUCAAACUCAAAUUAUACAUCAUGUGGGGUGUGGUCAAUUCAAUUAGAAUUUCAACUCAUGAGUUGAAUGGAAGUCAAUUCCAAAAUUCAGAAUUGAGCCCAACCCUGGUGAGAAUGUGUUUGUUAUUGUGUAGUUGAAUAAAUGCUUUUGAGUGUACAA